ensembl:lncRNA
GGGCUACUGAAGGUAGGGUUGGGGUAGUUAGAGAUGGGGUUACCGAGGUAAGGGUCGGGGUGGUUAGGGCUACUGAAGGUAGGGUUGGGGUAGUUAGAGAUGGGGUUACCGGGGUAAGGGUCGGGGUCACUAGGGUCAUAUGCACUGAAAGUGUAUUAAAUAAUAAAGGCAAAAGUGUCUUAAUGCUUAUUUCUCGGUGCUGCAGUACUGAAAGUGUGUGUCUGUGUGUUCCUCCACCAUAUAGGGAGUAGCCGGUUUCCGUGGAGAGAAGGGGGAUAGAGGAGAAGUAGGGGAAAAGGGCAGAGAUGGCCUCCCUGGUUUAGCCGGAGAACCUGGAAAACCUGGACAGGAUGGAAAGCCGGGUUUAAAGGGCUCAUCUGGUCUACAAGGCCCACCUGUGAGUAACAUUAGUCCACCACGGUAGCCCCUCGUGGGUUCGUCGGAGUAACAGAGAUUGGGGAUCGGCUGUGGGGGGCUGCACUAGGCUGCUGGAGCUGUUUGGCCGAGGCUACACAGAACAAACUGUAGAAAAUAACCGAUGCAGCACUGCUAUUAACAACUAACCGUCCUGUCUCUUCUUUUCCCCAACCACAUAUCUGUCUUCUUUCUUUUCCUUAUCUCCCUGUCUUCUUGUCUAUUAUUUAUCUCUACUGCCCCUUUACACUUCUCCCGGACCAUCACAACCCCUCUCUCUCUCUCUCCCCUGUGUAUUCUUUCCUUCCCUGUUCUCCCAUCCUCUUUCCUUUAGGGCUUGCCUGGGUUCCCAGGAGUGUUGGGCAGACCGGUAGGUUUUCUUUGGCCGUGAAUGUUGGCUGCAGUGCUUUGUGAUGGGAGUUUGGAGGGAGGGAGGGAGGGAGUGGAGUGAUGACGUCUUGUUUAUAUAUCUGUCCCCUCUGUUGUUGCUUCAGUGUGGUCUCAUACUGUUUACCUCACAGGUGUCAGACUUCUCGAGUUCCGUACGGCAUUUCUGAACGUGG